rnacentral:lncRNA from 1 species
CUCCCCUCAAAACCAAAAUAUAUCGUUUAUUAUAUUAAAAUUUUGAUGACCUGCCAUGCAAGCGCACCUGUCAUGGCAAAGGCCGUAUCACAUCAUAACAGAAUCCCUUUUCCCCAAUUGUCUACCCAUAACAGAACCCCUUUUCCCCAACCCAAAAUACAAACCCUUACAAGCUAAAUCCAAUUUCGCAAGAUUCCAAGUUAUGAAAGAUUAGGGUUCGUCGAUUGUCUACCACCAGGAAACAUCACAACGCAGCGCCUGCGACGAAACAAUCCCAUCUUAUUCUGAAUUGAAACCUGCAGAAAAACUUCUGAUACCUUUCAUAGAUGACGAAACAACUAUAGAAAAUAUAACAAUAAACAAAAAAUCAAAGUAUACGGUAGCAAUCGAUAAACCUCUAGUACCAAAUUCCGUCGGUUUCAAAGCGCUGGUCUAAACGAUAAAGGAAAGGCAGGUACGUUGUACGGCAUAAUGUGUUUCUACCGGUAUAUAUAGGAUAGUUGGGGAGAGCGAACGGCUAGGAUUGAGGGAAUGAAUUAAGGAUCAACGGUGGUAAAUUAACCUAUUAGAUUGAGUCGUUUUCUUGCGUUUCGUUUAACCGGUUGUAGACGCUGUCAAUGAGCUGGCAAUUUAGACAUUAACGAAUAUAAAUUGAACACAUGUUAAACUAAUCUUCCGGGCACGUUUAUGUUUGUUUCGUCCAUUCCAACGACAUUUAUCCUAAACUGGACUCAGAACUGGCUCGGCCCAGUUACCUAUGGGCCUUCACGUAAGAGCCUUGACAGCCUAAUCCCAAAAUUCCUUUUUGUUUUAUAAUUAAAAUAAUUUUCGGUGCACAACUUAAUUAAGGGACCGUUUCAUAAAAUUGAAUUCUGAAUAUUUAAUUAAUCUGAAUAAAUUAAAUAAAAAAAAUUAUUUAAUAAUUAAUAUAUCUGAAACAUCUGAAUAACAGUCUUUUAUUAUUUUACCCCUCUUAAAUUAUUUUAGUUUCUUACUUCAUAUGCCUAUUUAAAAUUUUUAUUUUUUCUUAAG